rnacentral:rRNA from 1 species
UAGAGUUUGAUCCUGGCUCAGGACGAACGCUGGCGGCGUGCUUAACACAUGCAAGUCGAACGGUGACGGCGGAGCUUGCUCUGCNUGAUCAGUGGCGAACGGGUGAGUAACACGUGAGUAACCUGCCCCUCACUCUGGGAUAACAUCGGGAAACCGGUGCUAAUACUGGAUACGAGAUGCCUCCGCAUGGGGAGUGUCUGGAAAGAUUUAUUGGUGGGGGAUGGACUCGCGGCCUAUCAGCUUGUUGGUGGGGUAAUGGCCCACCAAGGCGACGACGGGUAGCCGGCCUGAGAGGGCGACCGGCCACACUGGGACUGAGACACGGCCCAGACUCCUACGGGAGGCAGCAGUGGGGAAUAUUGCACAAUGGGCGAAAGCCUGAUGCAGCGACGCCGCGUGGGGGAUGAAGGCCUUCGGGUUGUAAACCCCUUUCAGCAGGGAAGAAGCGAAAGUGACGGUACCUGCAGAAGAAGCGCCGGCUAA